UAAAUCACAAUCUAUUCCACCUAUUGUGCCACAAAAUCGUCGAUUCUUGCCCAGAAAAUCAGUCUGAGUCAGCAUCAAAAUGCUGCUAGUCUGGAACUAAAAACUAGUAACACCAUGGGUUUGGGAGGGGCAGCAUCAUUUCAUUGCCAUGACAAAAUAAACCUAAUGAACAUGAACAAAACUGAGGAGUUGUAGGAAGGUUAUUCUUUACUGUUAAUUACAAUAAACUGAAUGGGAGCUGCAGUGAUAAUGCCAAUAACAAACAUAUUUAAGGGAGAAUAAAUAGCUAAAAGCAAUAAAGCAUGUAUGCUGUCUAUUAUGUUGUCCUCUGUAUAAAACACUGAUGGAUUGGACUUUCCAUAGUAAACCUCGUCUCAGCCUGAGAUGCUCUACUUACUGGUUACAAAGCAGCUAAAAUCUUUUGUGCACUUUUCCGGCCACAAUCUUUAGAAUGUUGAAGUCUGCAAUCUGAAUGGCUCUCCACAUUUCUGUAUAUACAUACAUCCAGGUACCAGCUUUCAGAGGAAAUCAAAUUCAGUGGGAAAGCAAACAUCAUUAUCAUUUCAGUCACUGGACCCUCGCCUUUAAAAGUUAUUAAAGAGAUUUGUAUGAAGCACUUAGUGGUGAACAAACACGAUAAUCAAGCAGGUUUGCCAACAGGCUGUGGGAAAAGGUCUGUAGUUGGUCAUCUGCCAUGUCACUCAAAUGGCUUCUUUAUGUUAAAGUAGGCGGUUCUUGGCCUUGCUUAUUGACGAAACGUACCAGACACUCUAGCAAAGCUGACCUUCUCCUGUCAGAGACAAAAUGAGAAAGAAAUAAAGAUAUACUGAUCCUCUGCUUUAGCAAUCAAUACAUAAAAACAAAGAUUCUUUAAGGCCUAAUGUGUAAUGAUGAGAAACAGACAGAUAAUCAGUGAAUGGUCUUGAUAUGCUGUAAUAAAAUGUCUAUAAAUGUUUGGAGUGAGGUAUAAUGAAUGAGAGAGUCUGUGUGCUGACAUUUCCAAUGUUGAAAUAACAACCACUGUGUUGAAGGAACUAUUUACAGUGAUAAUUUGGGUUCAUCUGGAAUAUAUAUAAACACCAUGAGCGUUAAAUCAGUACAGAGUUAAUUUAACACACUUAUACACCAGCCUCACUGUAGGACGUACUGACAGCUCAGACACUACAUAGACAUUUGGACAACUCGUCUGAUAUAGAGCUUUCCCAAAUGGCCAGUUAUUACACACACACAUACACACACACACACACACACACACACACACACACAGCCCUCCAAUCACACACAUGCAGUUGACUUACUAUCCCAGUGAGAACCUUCCAUUAAUAUAAUUAUUAAUGCAGAUAACUAAUGCUAUGCUACACCUACAGCUAACCCUAACCUUAACCACCAUAGCCAAUUUUGAUAAAAAUAAAAGUUGCAGUUUUUGUUACCAAUUACAUUUCCUCACCAGAUCAACAAAUCAAAUAUUCCUAUCCUUAUUCAGCCAAUUUGCCCCUAUCAAACUAUAAAAACAUGCCACGCCCCCCACAAACACGCACACACACAUAUCUCAGGCAAAUGUACAAAGAAUGUCAACAUACAAUAUACGCACACACGGUACUGCAGUAUAGGGCGGCGAUAGAAAGCAACACGCAGGAUCAGUGUUUCCCCGGAGAGCAAGAGAACAGUGUACAGAUCCGUUUUUACCCCUGCAGAAGUGGAGUAGGCUAAUGAAAAACACAGGCCUACUUCCUGCUCUGUGUGUGUGUGUGUGUGUGUGUGUGUGUGUGUGUGUGUGUGUGUUAUUUUUCAGGAUGAUAUAUGG
ensembl:lncRNA